UUCAACGCCGCGUGAGUGAUGAAGGUUUUCGGAUCGUAAAACUCUGUUGUUAGGGAAGAACAAGUGCCAUAGUAACUGAUGGCACCUUGUACGGUACCUAACCAGAAAGCCACGGCUAACUACGUGCCAGCAGCCGCGGUAAUACGUAGGUGGCAAGCGUUGUCCGGAAUUAUUGGGCGUAAAGCGCUCGCAGGCGGUUCUUUAAGUCUCGAUGUGAAAUCUUACGGCUCAACCGUAAACGUGCAUUGGAAACUGGGGAACUUGAGUGCACGAAGAGGAGAGUGGACUUCCACCGAUGUAGCCGGUGAAAUGCGUCAGAGAUGUGGAGGAACACCAGUUGGCGAAGGCGACUCUCUGGUCUGUAACCUGACGCUGAGG
rnacentral:rRNA from 1 species